UUAUUCUUCAUUUUGUGACCAAACGACCGUUUGUAAUCACUCUACCUUAGUGUGAGACGGCCCUAGAAACAUUUUGAGCAAAAUUUGAGACAUUAGACUUGGAGAGUUGGCUUAGAUCUAUGGAUUAUUUAGGGUAUUUGAUGAUUUCCAAGGAUUAUUGUGUAUCCUUUAUUGUGUGCUUGGAUUUAGAGUUGUCAAUCCUGUAUUGUGUGCUCGUAUCAACAUAAUUGAUAUUUCCUAAAUUUCAGAGUUUU
rnacentral:lncRNA from 1 species